rnacentral:rRNA from 1 species
UACGGGGGGGGCAAGCGUUGUUCGGAAUUACUGGGCGUAAAGGGCUCGUAGGUGGCCAACUAAGUCAGACGUGAAAUCCCUCAGCUUAACUGGGGAACUGCGUCUGAUACUGGAUGGCUUGAGUUUGGGAGAGGUGAGUGGAACUGCGAGUGUAGAGGUGAAAUUCGUAGAUAUUCGCAAGAACACCAGUGGCGAAGGCGGCUCACUGGCCCGAUACUGACGCUGAGGCACGAAAGCGUGGGGAGCAAACAGG